GCGCGAAAACUUUACAAUGCUGGCAACAGCGAUAAGGGAACCUCGAGUGCCGGGUUACGAAUCUGGCUGUCGAGAUGCCUAAAAAGCAUUUCAUAGCAAGGGCCGGGCAAGACCGGUGCCAGCCGCCGCGGUAACACCGGCGGCUCGAGUGGUAACCGUUAUUAUUGGGUCUAAAGGGUCUGUAGCCGGCCGGAUAAGUCCCUUGAGAAAUCUGGCAGCUUAACUGUCAGGCUUUCAGGAGAUACUGUCUGGCUCGAGGCCGGGAGAGGUGAGAGGUACUUCAGGGGUAGGGGUGAAAUCUUGUAAUCCUUGAAGGACCACCAGUGGCGAAGGCGUCUCACCAGAACGGACCUGACGGCAAGGGACGAAAGCUAGGGGCACGAACCG
rnacentral:rRNA from 1 species